rnacentral:rRNA from 1 species
UACGUAGGUGGCGAGCGUUAUCCGGAAUUAUUGGGCGUAAAGGGAGCGCAGGCGGUUUAUUAAGUUUAUGGUUAAAGUUCGGGGCUUAACCCCGUGAUGCCAUAGAAACUGGUAGACUAGAGUGCAGGAGAGGUUAGUGGAAUUCCAUGUGUAGCGGUAAAAUGCGUAGAUAUAUGGAGGAACACCAGUGGCGAAGGCGGCUAACUGGCCUGUAACUGACGCUGAGGCUCGAAAGCGUGGGGAGCAAAUAGG